rnacentral:rRNA from 1 species
UACGUAGGGUGCAAGCGUUAAUCGGAAUUACUGGGCGUAAAGCGUGCGCAGGCGGCUUUGCAAGACAGAUGUGAAAUCCCCGGGCUCAACCUGGGAACUGCAUUUGUGACUGCAAGGCUAGAGUACGGUAGAGGGGGAUGGAAUUCCACGUGUAGCAGUGAAAUGCGUAGAGAUGUGGAGGAACACCGAUGGCGAAGGCAGCCCCCUGGGCUAACACUGACGCUCAUGCACGAAAGCGUGGGGAGCAAACAGG